CCUACGGGUGGCAGCAGUGGGGAAUAUUGGACAAUGGGGGGAACCCUGAUCCAGCGACGCCGCGUGAGUGAAGAAGUAUUUCGGUAUGUAAAGCUCUAUCAGCAGGGAAGAAAGAAAUGACGGUACCUGACUAAGAAGUCCCGGCUAACUACGUGCCAGCAGCCGCGGUAAUACGUAGGGGGCAAGCGUUAUCCGGAUUUACUGGGUGUAAAGGGAGCGUAGACGGCGAUGCAAGUCUGAAGUGAAAGGCGGGGGCUCAACCCCCGGACUGCUUUGGAAACUGGAUGGCUGGAGUGCAGGAGAGGUAAGUGGAAUUCCUAGUGUAGCGGUGAAAUGCGUAGAUAUUAGGAGGAACACCAGUGGCGAAGGCGGCUUACUGGACUGUAACUGACGUUGAGGCUCGAAAGCGUGGGGAGCAAACAGGAUUAGAUACCCGGGUAGUC
rnacentral:rRNA from 1 species